GGCGCGCUGGGAAGGCUCGUUCUCGCGAGAGUUCAGCUCCCUUCUUAGCCGUGGCUGCCUCAGCACCUCGAGGAUCGACAUGGACGCUCUCGAGGACUACGUUUGGCCGCGGGCAACCUCGGAGCUUAUACUCCUCCCAGUGACGGGUCUGGAGUGCGUGGGGGACCGGCUGUUGGCGGGCUGGAGUGCAGUGGCACGGUCUCGGCUCCCUGCAACCUCCGCCUCCCAGGUUCAAGUGAUUCUCCUGCCUCAGCCUCCGGAGUAGCUGGGAUUACAGAGUCUGGCUUUGGCUUUCCAAAGUGCCCAGAUUACAGGCGUGAGCCACCGCACCCGGCCGAGACCAAGGAUUUUCUAAGAUUCAAGCUGCAGGAUUGUGUGUCCUGAUGCAUUCAUAGGCUACAUGCCGAGAAGUUUCCCUGAUCCCCAUCUCUUCCCUGUGGGUCAUCAGAGUUAGGUACCUAGCUCUGACAUGGCUCUUUGCCUCUAUCUAGGUGAGGGUCCCGAUGUCCUGGUGUACAGCUUGGACUUUGGUGGGCAUCUGCGGAUGAUAAAGCGAGUGCAGA
rnacentral:lncRNA from 1 species